GUCGAACGGUAACAGGAAGCAGCUUGCUGCUUCGCUGACGAGUGGCGGACGGGUGAGUAAUGUCUGGGAAACUGCCUGAUGGAGGGGGAUAACUACUGGAAACGGUAGCUAAUACCGCAUAACGUCGCAAGACCAAAGAGGGGGACCUUCGGGCCUCUUGCCAUCGGAUGUGCCCAGAUGAGAUUAGCUAGUAGGUGGGGUAACGGCUCACCUAGGCGACGAUCCCUAGCUGGUCUGAGAGGAUGACCAGCCACACUGGAACUGAGACACGGUCCAGACUCCUACGGGAGGCAGCAGUGGGGAAUAUUGCACAAUGGGCGCAAGCCUGAUGCAGCCAUGCCGCGUGUAUGAAGAAGGCCUUCGGGUUGUAAAGUACUUUCAGCGGGGAGGAAGGCGACAGGGUUAAUAACCCUGUCGAUUGACGUUACCCGCAGAAGAAGCACCGGCUAACUCCGUGCCAGCAGCCGCGGUAUACGGAGGGGCAAGCGUUAAUCGGAUUACUGGGCGUAAAGCGCACGCAGGCGGUCUGUCAAGUCGGAUGUGAAAUCCCCGGGCUCAACCUGGGAACUGCAUUCGAAACUGGCAGGCUAGAGUCUUGUAGAGGGGGGUAGAAUUCCAGGUGUAGCGGUGAAAUGCGUAGAGAUCUGGAGGAAUAC
rnacentral:rRNA from 1 species